UACGUAUGGGGCAAGCGUUAUCCGGAUUUACUGGGUGUAAAGGGAGCGUAGACGGUCUUAUAAGUCUGAUGUGAAAACCCGCGGCUCAACUGCGGGAUUGCAUUGGAAACUGUAAAACUUGAGUGCUGGAGGGGUAAGCGGAAUUCCUGGUGUAGCGGUGAAAUGCGUAGAUAUCAGGAGGAACACCGGCGGCGAAGGCGGCUUACUGGACAGCAACUGACGUUGAGGCUCGAAAGCGUGGGGAGCAAAC
rnacentral:rRNA from 1 species